UCGGUAAAAGAUGGGCCCGCAUCUGACUAGCUAGUUGGUGAGAUAAUAGCCCACCAAGGCAACGAUCAGUAGCCGACCUGAGAGGGUGACCGGCCACAUUGGGACUGAGACACGGCCCAAACUCCUACGGGAGGCAGCAGUGGGGAAUAUUGCACAAUGGGCGAAAGCCUGAUGCAGCAACGCCGCGUGAAGGAAGACGGUUUUCGGAUUGUAAACUUCUAUCAAUAGGGAAGAAAGAAAUGACGGUACCUAAAUAAGAAGCCCCGGCUAACUACGUGCCAGCAGCCGCGGUAAUACGUAGGGGGCAAGCGUUAUCCGGAAUUACUGGGUGUAAAGGGAGAGUAGGCGGCAAGGUAAGCGAUAUGUGAAAGCCUUAGGCUUAACCAAAGGAUUGCAUAACGAACUAUCUAGCUAGAGUACAGGAGAGGAAAGCGGAAUUCCUAGUGUAGCGGUGAAAUGCGUAGAUAUUAGGAAGAACACCAGUGGCGAAGGCGGCUUUCUGGACUGAAACUGACGCUGAGGCUCGAAAGCGUGGGGAGCGAACAGGAUUAGAUACCCUGGUAGUCCACGCUGUAAACGAUGAGUGCUAGGUGUCGGGGAGGAAUUCCCG
rnacentral:rRNA from 1 species